UGCAUUUGAGAAGGAGCAGGGAACAUGGGA
rnacentral:piRNA from 1 species